rnacentral:rRNA from 1 species
UACGGGAGGCAGCGGGGGAAUCUUAGACAAUGGGCGCAAGCCUGAUCUAGCCAUGCCGCGUGAGUGAUGAAGGCCUUAGGGUCGUAAAGCUCUUUUACCAGGGAUGAUAAUGACAGUACCUGGAGAAUAAGCUCCGGCUAACUCCGUGCCAGCAGCCGCGGUAAU